ensembl:lncRNA
CGGGUCUCUGCUGGCGAUUGAGUAUGUGGAGAACUUAGGUUUGACGCAACCUGUCUGCUUACCUCCGGAGAAAACUACAAACUGUAAGGCCUCGAUCUUGGACAGCAUGCCUAACCGUCAUUCUGCAGACGAGUGUGGAUGCUCUGAAUGCCAGGCCCUCUACAGUCUUGAGACAGAUCAGUGCUUACAGACAGAUCAGUGCUUACAAACAGAUCAGUGCUUACAGACAGAUCAGUGCACACAGACAGAUCAGUGCUUACAGACAGAUCAGUGCACACAGACGGAUCAGUGCACACAGACGGAUCAGUGCACAGAGACGGAUCAGUGCACACAGACAGAUCAGUGGUUACCGCCACCUCUGGUGAAAGCUACCGCACACCACUACCACUGUCCAGAAGCUCCUCCUACAACUUCCAUAACAGCUCUCCCUGAAAAAGGAAAGGAGCUCCUAGAGCAGCUUGAAGUAC